UACGAAGGGGGCUAGCGUUGUUCGGAAUUACUGGGCGUAAAGGGCGCGUAGGCGGUAAUUCAAGUCAGGCGUGAAAGCCCCGGGCUCAACCUGGGAACCGCGCUUGAGACUGGAGAACUAGAGUUCGGGAGAGGAUGGUGGAAUUCCCAGUGUAGAGGUGAAAUUCGUAGAUAUUGGGAAGAACACCGAUGGCGAAGGCAGCCAUCUGGACCGACACUGACGCUGAGGCGCGAAAGCGUGGGGAGCAAACAGG
rnacentral:rRNA from 1 species